rnacentral:rRNA from 1 species
AGUGAACGCUGGCGGUAGGCCUAACACAUGCAAGUCGAACGGCAGCACAGUAAGAGCUUGCUCUUACGGGUGGCGAGUGGCGGACGGGUGAGGAAUACAUCGGAAUCUACUUUUUCGUGGGGGAUAACGUAGGGAAACUUACGCUAAUACCGCAUACGACCUACGGGUGAAAGCAGGGGAUCUUCGGACCUUGCGCGAUUGAAUGAGCCGAUGUCGGAUUAGCUAGUUGGCGGGGUAAAGGCCCACCAAGGCGACGAUCCGUAGCUGGUCGGAGAGGAUGAUCAGCCACACUGGAACUGAGACACGGUCCAGACUCCUACGGUAGGCAGCAGUGGGGAAUAUUGGACAGUGGGCGCAAGCCUGGUCCAGCCAUCCCGCGUGUGUGAAGAAGGCCUUCGGGUUGUGAAGCCCUUUUGUUGGGAAAGAAAAGCAGCAGGUUAAUACCCCGCUGUUCUGACGGUACCCAAAGAAUAAGCACCGGCUAACUUCGUG